AUUGAACGCUGGCGGCGUGCUUAACACAUGCAAGUCGAUCGGUAACGCGGGGGCAACCCUGGCGACGAGAGGCGGACGGGUGAGGAACGCUUGGGAAUCUGCCUAUCAGCGGGGGACAACACGGGGAAACUCGUGCUAAUACCGCAUACGCUCUACGGAGGAAAGCCGGGGACCGCAAGGCCUGGCACUGAUAGAUGAGCCCAAGCCGGAUUAGCUAGUUGGCGGGGUAACGGCCCACCAAGGCGACGAUCCGUAGCUGGUCUGAGAGGACGAUCAGCCACACUGGGACUGAGACACGGCCCAGACUCCUACGGGAGGCAGCAGUGGGGAAUAUUGGACAAUGGGGGAAACCCUGAUCCAGCGACGCCGCGUGGGUGAAGAAGGCCUGCGGGUUGUAAAGCCCUUUCGGUAGGGACGAAAGCUCUCGACCUAACACGUCGGGAGGUUGACUUAACCUACAGAAGAAGCACCGGCUAACUCUGUGCCAGCCGCCGCAGUAACAC
rnacentral:rRNA from 1 species